UACGGGGGGAGCAAGCGUUGUUCGGAUUUACUGGGCGUAAAGGGCGCGUAGGCGGCCAGCACAAGUCAGUUGUGAAAUCUCCGAGCUUAACUCGGAAAGGUCAACUGAUACUGUGCGGCUAGAGUGCGGAAGGGGCAACUGGAAUUCCUGGUGUAGCGGUGAAAUGCGCAGAUAUCAGGAGGAACACCGGUGGCGAAGGCGGGUCUCUGGGCCGUAACUGACGCUGAGGAGCGAAAGCGUGGGGAGCGAACAGG
rnacentral:rRNA from 1 species